rnacentral:rRNA from 1 species
AGUAACGUGGCGGUUGCCUAACAGAUGUCAAGUCGGACGAGAGUUAUGCUUUAGCUGGCGGACGGGUGAGUAUAUGAGGAAUCUACCUUAUAGGAAGGGAAUAACAAUUGGAAACGAUUGCUAAUGCCCUAUAUGCUUAGCAGUGAAACAGAUGAUCUGCCUGAAGAUGAGGGCUCGCGCCUGAUUAGCUAGUUGGUAGAGUAAAAGCCUACCAAGGCAACGAUCAGUAGCUGGUUUGAGAGGACGAUCAGCCACACUGGGACUGAGACACGGUCCAGACUUAUACGGAAGGCAGCAGUGGGGAAUUUUCCGCAAUGAGCGAAAGCUUGACGGAGCAAUACCGCGUGAGGGAAGAAUGCCUGUGGGUUGUAAACCUCUUUUAUUAGGGAAGAAAAUAUGACGGUACCUAAAGACUAAGCCUCGGCUAACUCCGUGCCAGCAGCCGCGGUAAUACGGGGGAUGCAAGCGUUAUCCCGGAAUUACUGAGCGUAAAGCGUCUGCAGGUGGCUUAAAAAGUCUGCUUGACAAAUAUUAGAGCUCAACUCUGAGUCAGACAGUGGACACUUGUUAGGAUACAAGUAAUGGUAUGGGGUAAAGGGGAACCUCCCCAAGUGUAGCCGGGUGAAACAGGCGUAAAAUAUUGGAGAAGAACAACAAGUAGCGAACCCU